CCAGACUCCUACGGGAGGCAGCAGUGAGGAAUAUUGGUCAAUGGGCGAGAGCCUGAACCAGCCAAGUCGCGUGAGGGAAGACGGUCCUAUGGAUUGUAAACCUCUUUUGCCGGGGAGCAAAAAGCGGUACGUGUACCGCAUCGAGAGUACCCGGAGAAAAAGCAUCGGCUAACUACGUGCCAGCAGCCGCGGUAAUACGUAGGGGGCAAGCGUUAUCCGGAAUUACUGGGUGUAAAGGGAGAGUAGGCGGCAAGGUAAGCGAUAUGUGAAAGCCUUAAGCUUAACUUAAGGAUGGCAUAACGAACUAUCUAGCUAGAGUACAGGAGAGGAAAGCGGAAUUCCUAGUGUAGCGGUGAAAUGCGUAGAUAUUAGGAAGAACACCAGUGGCGAAGGCGGCUUUCUGGACUGAAACUGAUGCUGAGGCUCGAAAGCGUGGGGAGCGAACAGGAUUAGAUACCCUGGUAC
rnacentral:rRNA from 1 species